UUUCUGAGCAAAUAGUGUCAAAAACGCUUUAACUAGGAUGCAGUGUUAGCAAAAGUACUGAAAGAAGCUCUCACGUAAACGCUCUUUUGCUACAGUAGUUUCUGAAAAAAUAAUUUUGAGAAGAUGUUUCUGAGCAAAUAGUGUCAAAAACGCUUCAAGCAGGAUGCAAUGUCAGCAAAAGUACUGAAAGAAGCUCUUUUACUACAGUAGUUUCUAUUUGGCCUAAGGCUAUAAAUGAGGCAAUUUUUUUCUCAGGUUGCAUAAAUUACAGCAAAAAAAAUUAGAGAGGCUAAGAAGGAUAGAAAUUAAAGAUGAGUGAAUGUAUUAGUGUUGUUAUUUACUAUGAUGGUGAGGUUCGUCACACCGAGAACGGUGUUGUUUUUUUAUCAGAGAAUACAGUGCGACUGGUGUUUAACCAAAAUAUACAUUUGACAGAACUUCGUAAAAGAAUUAGGCAUAAAAUAUUCGGAAUGACGCCAAUGAAAGUUUUGUCUAUUAGGUAUCGAUUUUGUACUUCUGUUGAUCUGGUGACAUAUGACUCGUUUGACAUCAAAGGUGGUUGUAGCUUGAAGGCAAUGGUGCAGACUCAUCUCGCUAGUGGAGCACCAUAUAUUGAGUUAUAUGUACAAUUUGCAUCGCCAAAUGAUGCAUUUGCGACUGUUGUUCGAGAGGAUUACACGAUCCCUUCCCAACACUCCAUUAGUGGGUUACAAAACACGGAACCACCCGUGUUUGGUAACGGUAUAGAAUACACAACCCUUGCACGACACUCCGUCAGUGGAUGGGACAUGAACCUCGGUGGGUCGAUGUUUGAUGCUGGAAAUAUGUACUACGGAACGACAUCAACUUCUAGUGGUUGGCAAUCUACAUCCAAUUAGGGAUGUUAUGAAAUGCCAAGAAGAAGGGAUGAUGUAUUCCCUACGACGUCCACCAGUGAGGGGACCUCGUACGUUGCAAAUGAUGGUGGGUUAGAAGAUGAGUCCGAUGUGGAUCCACCUAGAGAGCCCGGCCCAGAUGGUGCAGAAGUUACAUUAUUUUCUAAACUAGAGCCUAUUCCAACCGAACCUGAAGAUGUUGAGAUGAAGAAGAAGAUCCAUGAUUCAGGGCAUACUCGCAUCUAGCCCACAUGCAUAAUGUCAAUCUAUCUGCAGAUGAUGCGUUGGAGUUUCCAGAUCUACCACACAGAAUACGUGAUCAUACAAGUUCAUUAUUAGAUUUGGGUGAAUUUGAAGUUGGUAAGGAGUAUUCCAAUAAGGAUAGUUUUCUUGGUGUAUUGAAAUAACAUAGCAUCAAUAACGGUGUUAACUACCAUGUGGUUAAAUCCAAAUCUGAUAAGUUUAAGGCGAAGUGUGCAGUGCAAGAUGGUAUAUGUUCAUGGAAAAUCUAUGCCUCAUUGAGGAAAAGGACAGGGUUGUGGGAGAUAAAAAAAGUAUAAAGGUCCACAUAAAUGUACUACAGGUAUUUUACAAGAUCAUUCCAAGAUGGAUUCUGCUAUGUUAGCUAGCUUAAUACUGCCCACGGUGAAGGCAGAUCCUAGGGUUUCAGUGCCGGCCUUAAUUGCCAAUAUUCGUAGCCAAAUGGAGUACACGCCCUCUUACCGCAAGGUUUGGAUAGCUAAGCAGAAGGCAUUGAAGAAGAUGCAUAGUGGGUGGGACGCUUCAUAUAAUGAAAUAUGGCAGUUGUGUCAAGUUCUAGAGAGAUACGUCCCAAGUUGCAUAACAGCCCUUGAAACGGAACAUGCGUACUAGAACAACCGAUUGCUAUGUGGAUGCCAAGUGUUCAAAUGUCUGUUCUGGACUUUUAAGCAAUACCGAGACACAUUUCUAUACUGCAAGCCAUUGGUACAAAUUAACGGUACCUUUAUGUUUGGUAGAUAUACCCAUCGGCUAUUGCUUGCAGUGACACAAUAUGGCAGUGGGAGAAUUCUUCCAAUACAAUACACCUGGGGAGUCAGCUGAUGAUUGAGAUUUUUUUCUAUCUAGGUUAAGGAGGCAUGUGUGCCCCCAACUUGAUAUUUGCGUUAUUUCGGAUCGGGGCAUCGAAAUACUAGCUGCAAUUGAGCGACAGAGAAGCCUAUGUCAGCGCACACACCAUCGGUAUUGCCUAAGGCACGUUGCUUCCAACGACUACAGGCAAUAUCCGUCUAAAAGUGAAUGACGACAAGUGACCAAUAUGGGGUAUGAAAUAAGUAAAGACCAUUUUCAUGAGAUGUUGGCAGUUUUGCGUUCAGUUAACGACGAAUGCGCGGACUACCUCUGUAACAUACCUUUCGAACAAGCGCACACAAGCAUACGCACUAUUUACCGAUAACACCGGUUGUGCGAGAGACAUAUUUUCGUUUAGCGGUGCUAUUUCCAAAGCUAGCAGCGAGUUAUGCAGGUCAAAUGCAGGGAGGCUAUGUAUGGUGUAGGAAGGUAUUGCAAGAAAUUAAUAAGGCGAAGGCGCGGGCGAACACCAUGCAUACAGUGUGUCACGAUUGAGACAACCUAUGGUUUUGUUUGACGGAGUUUGACAGACCGCACCAAGGUAUUACUGGCGGGUAAUAUCGUGUACACGUGAGAAAUAGGACUUGCAACUGUGGGAUGUUUGAUGCACUUCGUUAUCCAUGCACUCAUAUAAUUGCAGCUUGUCAGAAUCUCCGUCUGGAUCCCAUGAGCUAUGUCGACGAAGUGUACAAAUUAGAAUACAUGUAGAACAUCUGAAGACACGUAUUCGCACUGGUCUCAGAUGAACGUAAGUGGCCAUCUGUAUCGCUUGCUCCCUUUAAGCUGUUACUGGAUAGAAAAUUGCGUCGCAAACCAAAUGGUCGACCUUGCUCGACUAGAAUACAUAACAAUAUGGAUAUCCGAGAAACAGCCAAUCAACAGAAGUUGUGUGGAUGGUGUAGGAACCUAGGCCAUACAAGUAGAUCAUGUCCAAAUCGCAAUAGUUG